rnacentral:rRNA from 1 species
UCGUGGGGCAGCAUGACUGUAGCAAUACAGUUGAUGGCGACCGGCAAACGGGUGCGGAACACGUACACAACCUUCCUUUUAGUGGAGAAUAGCCCAGGGAAACUUGGAUUAAUACUCCGUAACAUAUAAAAGUGGCAUCACUUUUAUAUUAUAGCAGCAAUGCGCUAGAAGAUGGGUGUGCGGCUGAUUAGAUAGUUGGCGGGGUAACGGCCCACCAAGUCGACGAUCAGUAACUGGUGUGAGAGCACGACCAGUCACACGGGCACUGAGACACGGGCCCGACUCCUACGGGAGGCAGCAGUAAGGAAUAUUGGUCAAUGGACGCAAGUCUGAACCAGCCAUGCCGCGUGGAGGAUGAAGGUCCUCUGGAUUGUAAACUUCUUUUAUUUGGGAAGAAACCCAUCUUUUCUAAGAUGGCUGACGGUACCAGAUGAAUAAGCACCGGCUAACUCCGUGCCAGCAGCCGCGGUAAUACGGAGGGUGCAAGCGUUAUCCGGAUUCACUGGGUUUAAAGGGUGCGUAGGUGGGCAAGUAAGUCAGUGGUGAAAUCUCCGGGCUUAACCCGGAAACUGCCAUUGAUACUAUUUGUCUUGAAUACUGUGGAGGUCAGCGGAAUAUGUCAUGUAGCGGUGAAAUGCUUAGAUAUGACAUAGAACACCAAUUGCGAAGGCAGCUGGCUACACAAAUAUUGACACUGAGGCACGAAAGCGUGGGGAUCAAACAGGAUUAGAUACCCUGGUAGUCCACGCCCUAAACUAUGGAUACUCGACAUUUGCGAUAAACUGCAAGUGUCUGAGCGAAAGCAUUAA